UUAACUUUAUUGAUCCCAGCAGCAAAAAUGACAGACGGACAACAGUGCCAAACAGGCAAGGUGCCAAAACAGCACAAAGCGUGAUGUCAAUGUAAACAGAUUUAAAAAGUACUGUGAUACUACAGAAAUACGUGAAGAUAAGGAUAAUAAAUUAGCGAUAUGUGCAAUUAAUGAACAUACAGCACCAGGUGUUUACUGUACAAGAUGGAUCAUUUCCUGAUGUGUUCUGGCUGAGUGGCACAUGUCAGGAGGAGGCGUUGUGGUGACUGAUGGCAGCAAGCGGGAAUGAUCUCCAGUAAGGUUUUCUAUCAAAGCAUGGUGGAAUGAGCCGGUAGCUAAACGUGCUCCAGGAUAGCGCCCCCUGGAGCGGAUAAGCAGAACUGUUCAUAGUAUUGUCCAGUUUUACCAACAUCCUCUUCCCUGGCCUUUCUUGUACAGCACUGUUGUGUUAUCUGGUCAGUUCAGUGUGCUGUUCAGGUAGUCCCACAGGUAACUGUAGCCAUGUAUCAAGGAUGGUGACCGGUCUCAGGGGCUCCCUGUUACCCCUGGAAGUCCACGACCAGCUCCUUAGUUUAGUUGAUGUUGAGCUGCAGGUUCUUCUCCCAGUAUCACCCGACAAAGUCCUCUUCUGCUCCUCUGUACUCAGACUCAUUUUCAUUGCUGGUGUAUCCUACAAUGGAGGAGUGGUCUGAGAACUUCUGUAGAUGGCAGAAGCUGGUGUUGUACUGGAAAUCAGACAUGUAGAACAUAAACAGAAAAAGGGAACAGGACAGUUCCCUGCCUGACUAAAAUUAACAUUGGAAUAGGACAAGCCCCUUCUACAUGUGUUUGUUAUUCAAUACCAAUGUCUAACUUGAUAAAUUUUCAAUUAAGUUUGACUCUGAUGAAUGCUUUGUUGACCGAUAUCCCUGUGCUCUCCAUCUUACAUGCUGACUAUUAUAUUCAUGUUUAUGGUCUACACAGCAGCAGAAGAGAUCGACUAAACAUUUUUCUUCACACCAUUUUCAGCUGGCAAGAUAUUUUUUGGCAGGGAUGCAAAUUAUCUGCUGUACGCCAUCAUUAUUACUAUUAACCAUCAUCAGAGUGCUGAUGGAAAAUGCAUCCCACAUCAGCCUAAUAGCUGAGUAAUGUCAUAUUGGGAGACAUGGAAGACUCAGGCUGAAUGACAUGCUAAUAGUAUAUCAGGAUAUGAAGGAUAUCUACAGCAGAUUUUGCAGCAAGGCAUAAAGUUCAGGUUCGGGGGUGGGGAACCUGUUCCAUGGAGGGCCGUUGUGGGUGCGGUUUUUGAGGAUGAUCUCUAAAUCAGCCAGUAAUAAAACAGUGGUUCUCAACUCCAGUCCUUGGGACCCCCUGUUAUUGGCUGAUUGAGAGAUCAUCCCAAAAACCUGUACCCACACCAGCCCUCCAUGGAACAGGGUCCCCACCCCUGUUCUAGAACAUACCAUGGGAUAUUUUUUGUUACCUGAUAAGUGCUCUAAAAUGGACUGAGAAAUAUGAGUAAUAUUUCUUACAGGGUCAGUCACCCCAAAUGUAAAAAAAAAGAACUUAUUUACCAUAUUAGUAAUGAAUGUUGUAGGACACAUCAGGGCUAUUUGCGGCGUUUCUCUUUAAAUAGUCCUUAUAGAAGAAUCAUGUGCUGCUUGACGUAUUCCUACUUUCAUAGCUUUGGUGUGGAAUAAUCCUGAUUGUUUACAAGUACCUUCUAGUACGGAAAAGACAUUGUGGAUUUAGCCGAUGCCUCAUCGGCUUAUGCCUAAACCAGACUAAUGUGAGGCUUCAUAUCAGUCUUGGACCUGAACUAAGGUUAUUGUCAGGUUCCCUUUGUUCUAGGUGACACUGCUGGGAAAACAGGUGGAAGGACCUUUGGUGCUGCAAGUUUACAGAAUUUUCGUGGCAAGAUCAUCUUCGGGACUCUUCUUCCCCUGACUCUUCCUGCUCCUCUUCAGACUCAUCCUCCUCUUCCUCCUCACCCCCUCUGUCUGACUCCAGCUCUUCCGAGUCGAUAGAGGAACGCUGGCGGGAAGGAAGGCGGUGGGAGCGCUGUUUCGGACGGCACUCCGGACAGAACCAGUCCUCAGCAGGGAUGGCCUGGGAUGAAGUGAUUCACUUUUCAGCGGGCAUUCAGGAUGGACUUGGCCCAGGCGACGCUGCGCUCCAAGGUGGAGAGGUGCAGGAAGACCUGCGACAGGCUGGAGCAGCUGAGCAGGGACUCCCGCCAGCGGUCCUGCACCGUCUUGCAGACGCGUCCGCUGUCACUGCCGUCUGGGGGAGAGGAUGCCGGUCAGUCCUGUAGCGGCCGCCUUGCCCACCCUACCUUGACGGCUCCCAGAGUUCCCUGGAAGAUGCGAUCCUCAAUGUCAAGCAGCAGGUCUUUCAGCCGGUUCUCCAUGUGCCGCUCCGCAGUGGACAAGCCUUCCGCCGCAUUCUUCG